UUGCAGAGUUCUGGCUGUGCGCUGGUCGGCCAUCUUGAAAAAAAAAUUGUGAAGGUCGUAUUUCCAGCUAUCCUGCGAGACGGCAGUUCAGAUGCAGUCGUCCUGUGUGUCAGAAAGCUGGUGAUCAAAAUGGUUGAAGGCAGUACCCAAGAAAGUACAUUUACAAAGUUGUGAGCAGUAACCUAGCCUAUAUAACCUGAAGCUCACCCAAUAUGCAGUGUGUUCUGCUCUGUCAAUAACAACUCUGUAUGGCUGGUCUGACCUCAGUGGAAGUUGUUCGUUUAAAUGGUUUCGGGACAUUGAAGUAAAACAACACGAGAAUGUCCCACCAAGAGUGAAGGGCUGCCUGUUUGCUUCAGAUUCCCAGUCCUCCUCGCUGAUGAUUUCUGAAGUCCUUACGCAGUCACCCCAGUCUUCAACCUCAGUUUGUACAGGUGAUAAUGUUUUUGAACCAUAGUUCAUUGUCAUGUCAUUGGAGUUGUUCAGCUGCUC